AUGGGUGGCGGGCCUGGCGGCGGUGCCGGUGCGCUCGCCUGGCUGCUCGUGGCCGUGCUCCUCCUGGCCCUGGGUUCUUCCACGAGCCCAGCAGCUUGCUCCUCGCGUGUCCUUCCAGCUGAAGAUGGUGACGUGAUGGUGCGGGCUGCCGGAGCCGGAGGAGCGUACGGCGGACGCGGAGGCGAGAGGGUUGUGGUGGGGAGGUCUCUGCUGCAGAGGGCGGCGUCGAGGCCGCCGUCGCCGGUGCCGAACCCGCCGAGGGCCACCGUCGCGCCGGGGACCCCGCCGCGGAAGGCGUAG
rnacentral:rRNA from 1 species